AAGGUGUAAAGAAUGGAUUGAUAAUCUUGAUAUUCAUGCUUAUGGCAGGCUCUAUCUUGAAAUAGUAGAUGCUCCUCCAGUGCUCUAUUUGGAUUUUCUAUCAAUACUAAGCUUGAAGUUGAACUGGUUUGUCGCCGCUUCAACGGAACUUGCUAUUAUACCACACAACCAAGAAUAUCACCAUCUAUUUCACUUGACUAUUCCGUAUGGAUUGGUGAUUUAUACACUUUGACUGUUCUGUACUGUAUGGAAUUUGAGUAUUCAUAAGAAUGACUUGUCUUAUACUCCCUCCUGAAGUCUCCAAGACGAAAUCUUGAAAAAAAUCUAGUCUAUACACCAGGCUUCAUCAUAGAUUACUUCUGCUCAGACUUGGAUUACCAUGCUAUAAUAAGUCAAUUGAUAACAUCUCCGAUAUGUCAAUAAUCCUCAUUUUAUAGUAAACCCUUGAGAUUGAAG
rnacentral:misc_RNA from 1 species